CAGUAGCCGCGGGAAUACGUAUGUCGCGAGCGUUAUCCGGAAUUAUUGGGCAUAAAGGGCAUCUAGGCGGCCGGAUAAGUCUGGGGUGAAAACUUGCGGCUCAACCGCAAGCCUGCCCUGGAAACUAUGCGGCUAGAGUACUGGAGAGGUGGACGGAACUGCACGAGUGGAGGUGAAAUUCGUAGAUAUGCGCAGGAAUGCCGAUGAUGAAGAUAGUUCACUGGACGGUAACUGACGCUGAAGUGCGAAAGCUAGGGGAGCAAACAGGAUUAGAUACCCCAGUAGUCCCUGUCUCUUAUAA
rnacentral:rRNA from 1 species